GAUGAACGCUAGCGGGAGGCUUAAUACAUGCAAGUCGAGCGAGAAUGUUGGUGCUUGCACUGACAGGCAGCGGCGCACGGGUGAGUAACGCGUACAGAAUCUACCAUACACAGGAGGAUAGCCCCGGGAAACUGGGAUUAAUACUCCAUGGCCCCUAGAAUAGGCAUCUAUUUAAGGGUAAAGCUCCGGCGGUGUAUGAUGACUGUGCGUACUAUUAGCUAGUUGGUGAGGUAACGGCUCACCAAGGCAGUGAUAGUUAGGGGGCGUGAGAGCGUGAUCCCCCACAUGGGUACUGAGACACGGACCCA
rnacentral:rRNA from 1 species